CGGAGGGUGCAAGCGUUAUCCGGAUUUAUUGGGUUUAAAGGGUCCGUAGGCGGACUUGUAAGUCAGUGGUGAAAUCUCGCAGCUUAACUGCGAAACUGCCAUUGAUACUGCAUGUCUUGAGUAAAUUUGAAGUGGCUGGAAUAAGUAGUGUAGCGGUGAAAUGCAUAGAUAUUACUUAGAACACCAAUUGCGAAGGCAGGUCACUAAGAUUUAACUGACGCUGAUGGACGAAAGCGUGGGAGCGAACAGGAUU
rnacentral:rRNA from 1 species